rnacentral:lncRNA from 1 species
AUCACUUUUAAAGUCUUUUUGCUUAUCUUACUUGAGAAAGAUCAGAAAUUGAAGAUAAGCAAAAAGACUUUAAAAGUAAUAUGACCCAAUAAUAUCUUAUUGGACUUGUUUAAAUCAUCAAAUAGUAUUCAUUUAUACAAUUUCUUAUAACAUCUGCACAGCCUUUACCAUUUGCUUGAUAUUUUUACAUACUCUUAUCAAUUUUAUAAAUAAAAUUUGAGGGAUUAUUCAUAUACUAAAGUGAAAAUUUACAUGAAAUUUUUAUUUAAAUGUAAAACCUGUAAUUGAAAUAUUUGUUGCCUUUUUUGCCUUCUUAAAGGUAAUCUAGAAAUAUUAAUAUGGAUUGGUUAUUUUGUCUCCUAACCCUUUACAGAUGAGUCUUAGCAGUAAAUUUAAUUUCUCUUCUAUUGUGAACAAUAACAAAAAUGUUAUUUAGACUCUCGCCCAAUAAGAGGGAGUAAGAGCUACCCAGGUUGACAUCCAGAUAUAUAAGAGGGCUUUGGGACGUGGGCUAUCUAAUUGUUGAUUGGGGCUGAAAUUAUUUGUAAUAAUCUUAGAUUUAAGUACUGAUAUCUUAAUUUCUCCUGAUUACUGUUGGUAUAAAAAAUGGAUGAAAUGUUUGCAAUUAUUUCCUUGGUUACAGUUUAUAUCCCUCAUAGAAGUGUAAUUAACUGAGAAAUGAUUUUUCUUCAGAUUUAAAUAUUAUUUACUAUUAACAUUAUUUAUAAAGAUUAUCUUGGUUAAAUAGUUCUGUUCUUGACUGGCUAUAAUUUAAUUUUAUGUUUGCAAAAGAAGGAAAGUAUUUUAGUUGUAAGCAUAUUUAGAAGUGGGCUAUUAAUCUUUUUCUCUUUUUGUGAUAUAUAUAUUUUAAGCCAAAAAAAUGGUAUAAUUGGAUGUUAAGAAUGUUCGUUUUAAAAAUUUUACUGUUGUA